rnacentral:rRNA from 1 species
UACGUAGGCAGCAAGCGUUGUUCGGAAUUACUGGGCGUAAAGAGUGUGUAGGCGGUGCUCUAAGUUCGGUGUGAAAUCUCCCGGCUCAACUGGGAGGGUGCGCUGAAAACUGGGGUGCUCGAGGGUGGGAGAGGUAAGCGGAAUGCCGGGUGUAGUGGUGAAAUGCGUAGAGAUCCGGCGGAACACCGGUGGCGCAGGCGGUCCCCUGGGCCGAGGCCGACGCUGGGGCGCGAGAGCGCGGGGAGCGAACCGG